UACGUAGGGUGCGAGCGUUGUCUGGAUUUAUUGGGCGUAAAGAGCUCGUAGGCGGUUUGUCGCGUCGGCCGUGAAAUCUCCACGCUUAACGUGGAGCGUGCGGUCGAUACGGGCAGACUUGAGUUCGGUAGGGGAGACUGGAAUUCCUGGUGUAGCGGUGAAAUGCGCAGAUAUCAGGAGGAACACCGAUGGCGAAGGCAGGUCUCUGGGCAUUAACUGACGCUGAGGAGCGAAAGCAUGGGGAGCGAACAGG
rnacentral:rRNA from 1 species